rnacentral:rRNA from 1 species
AGACUUUGAUCCUGGCUCAGAUUGAACGCUGGCGGAAUGCUUUACACAUGCAAGUCGAACGGCAGCACGGGUGCUUGCACCUGGUGGCGAGUGGCGAACGGGUGAGUAAUGCGUCGGAACGUACCGAGUAAUGGGGGAUAACGCAGCGAAAGUUGUGCUAAUACCGCAUACGCCCUGAGGGGGAAAGUGGGGGAUCGCAAGACCUCACGUUAUUCGAGCGGCCGACGUCUGAUUAGCUAGUUGGUGGGGUAAUGGCUCACCAAGGCGACGAUCAGUAGCGGGUCUGAGAGGAUGAUCCGCCACACUGGAACUGAGACACGGUCCAGACUCCUACGGGAGGCAGCAGUGGGGAAUUUUGGACAAUGGGGGAAACCCUGAUCCAGCCAUUCCGCGUGAGUGAAGAAGGCCUUCGGGUUGUAAAGCUCUUUCAGCUGGAAAGAAACGGUGCGCUCUAACAUAGCGUGCUAAUGACGGUACCAGCAGAAGAAGCACCGGCUAACUACGUGCCAGCAGCCGCGGUAAUACGUAGGGUGCGAGCGUUAAUCGGAAUUACUGGGCGUAAAGCGUGCGCAGGCGGAUUGUUAAGCAAGAUGUGAAAUCCCCGGGCUUAACCUGGGAAUGGCAUUUUGAACUGGCAGUCUA